UGACUUCAUUGCAUAAUGCAGUAGCAACUGGAUUUGCAGCAGAAACACCCUGCUAAAGAACAAGUAUCUUGGUUUACAGCAAAGAGGACAAAGGAAAACAGCAAGUUCUAGGGGGUUGAAGGCUGGAUUAAUUCCCAAGAAAUGAAUCAAACUGUCAGUGAGACUCUGCUCUAACAAUCAUUAUACAGUUUCUACAGGCAGAUAUCCUGGAGGUUUCCAAAUGCUACUGUUGCUGGGGAAAUGUCAUUGUUAGAGAAUAGAAAACUAUUAUUCCAAAGAGGACCGAAGACUGACUGAAUCAGGUCUGGAACAUUAUUGAAAUGCUCUUCUGACAACCUCAUCUUUCAAGAUUCAGCUUAGUCUCUGCUCAGCGCACGACUUCUCUGAUUGAUUCAGAUAGGAGAUGGUGACCUUCCCUCUAGCCUACCACGACUCUUUGUAAACACUGCAGUUACAGCGUGUUCUGCAAUUUGGUGAAAUUCUUGUCUACAUUGCCAUUUCUCCACCUAGACUGAAAGCUCUUUGAGAGUAGCAGUCUUCUCACCAGCACCUGGUUCAAUGCAUAACAGGGCUCAGCCUCCUCCAUCAUCCUGCUUUUAUGGAGUUUUUGCUAUUACGGAGUUUCUGGCCACAGGGGAGAAACCAUUCAGCCUGGAGCCAUCUAUCUCCUGCCUCCGUAGGAGUCUCCUCUAGAGAUAUCAGAAGCUUCAUGAUAAGAGCUUCAACCUUCUGACCUGCUGAUGUAGUUGAUUCUGAGCAUGAGAUGUCUCACUUUCCUCCAAAUCAUUCCCUUUGUACUCAUGGCUCCCCUAAAAUAAGAAGAAGAAGCACCAUGUCUCCCCUAAGACUUAGUAACACAGGCUGAUGGCAGAAACAGCAUUGUGCAGUGGUUGAACACACAGUCUCCAAAGCCAGAAUGCUUAGGUCUGAAUCUUGCUCUGCCAUUGACAACUUCAAUCAAAGGGAGACUUCUAGGUUUAUUGAAUGGAACCUCUGCUUCUAUAUCCUCCACUAAGAGACAACAUUAGGGUCAUAAGAAGACCUUCACAAUUAUCACUUUUCAAGCUGUAAAUGGUCAAAGUAAAAUCUCUAAGGAUCAGGAAGUGUCAACAGAGUCUGGGGCUUCAUGGUUCUGGUUACUGAG